AACGAACGCUGGCGGCAUGCCUAACACAUGCAAGUCGAACGAGACCUUCGGGUCUAGUGGCGCACGGGUGCGUAACGCGUGGGAACCUGCCCUUAGGUUCGGAAUAACUCCCGGAAAGGGGUGCUAAUACCGGAUAAUGUCUUCGGACCAAAGAUUUAUCGCCUUUGGAUGGGCCCGCGUUGGAUUAGCUAGUUGGUAGGGUAAAAGCCUACCAAGGCGACGAUCCAUAGCUGGUCUGAGAGGAUGAUCAGCCACACUGGGACUGAGACACGGCCCAGACUCCUACGGGAGGCAGCAGUGGGGAAUAUUAGACAAUGGGCGAAAGCCUGAUCCAGCAAUGCCGCGUGAGUGAUGAAGGCCUUAGGGUUGUAAAGCUCUUUUACCCGGGAUGAUAAUGACAGUACCGGGAGAAUAAGCUCCGGCUAACUCCGUG
rnacentral:rRNA from 1 species